AGGGGGUUUGAUCAUGGGCUCAGGACGAACGCUGGCGGCGUGCUUAACACACGCAAGUCGAACGAUGAAACUUCCAUGAUCUAUUCGUAGAGAUUGGGAGCGGAUUAGUGGCGAACGGGUGAGUAACGCGUGAGCAACCUGCCUUAAACAACGGGAUAGCCUCGGGAAACCGGGAUUAAUACCGUAUGAGACCCCGCCUUCCCAUGAAGAAGAGGUUAAAGAUUUAUCGGUUUAAGAUGGGCUCGCGUCUGAUUAGCUAGUUGGUGAGAUAAAAGCCCACCAAGGCAACGAUCAGUAACCGGCUUGAGAGAGUGAACGGUCACAUUGGAACUGAGACACGGUCCAAACUCCUACGGGAGGCAGCAGUGGGGAAUAUUGCACAAUGGGGGAAACCCUGAUGCAGCGACGCCGCGUGAGCGAUGAAGGAAUUCGUUUCGUAAAGCUCUGUCCUAGGGGNAGNAUAAUGACAGUACCCUUGGGAGGAAGCCCCGGCUAAAUACGUGCCAGCAGCCGCGGUAAUACGUAUGGGGCGAGCGUUGUCCGGAAUU
rnacentral:rRNA from 1 species